rnacentral:rRNA from 1 species
UACGGGGGGGGCAAGCGUUGUUCGGAAUCACUGGGCAUAAAGGGCGCGUAGGCGGGCCGUAAAGUCAGGGGUGAAAUCCUCCAGCUUAACUGGAGAACUGCCUUUGAUACUGACGGUCUCGAGUGAGGUAGGGGCGUGUGGAACUGAUGGUGGAGCGGUGAAAUGUGUUGAUAUCAUCAGGAACUCCGGUGGCGAAAGCGACACGCUGGACCUCUACUGACGCUGAGGCGCGAAAGACAGGGGAGCAAACGGG